rnacentral:rRNA from 1 species
CGGUUGAUCCUGCCGGAGGUUACUGCUAUCGGUGUUUGCCUAAGCCAUGCGAGUCAAAUGUUCUUCGUGAACAUGGCAUACUGCUCAGUAACACGUGGAUAACCUGCCCUCAGGUCUGGCAUAACCCCGGGAAACUGGGGAUAAUUCCGGAUAACGCAUAUAUGCUGGAAUGCUUUAUGCGUCAAAGGUCCUCCGCCUGAGGAUGGGUCUGCGGCCUAUCAGGUAGUAGCGGGUGUAAUGUACCUGCUAGCCGACGACGGGUACGGGUUGUGAGAGCAAGAGCCCGGAGAUGGAUUCUGAGACAUGAAUCCAGGCCCUACGGGGCGCAGCAGGCGCGAAAACUUUACAAUGCGGGAAACCGUGAUAAGGGGACACCGAGUGCCAGCAACAUUUGCUGGCUGUCCACGUGUGUAAACUACACGUGUUAGCAAGGGCCGGGCAAGACCGGUGCCAGCCGCCGCGGUAACACCGGCGGCCCGAGUGGUGAUCGUUAUUAUUGGGUCUAAAGGGUCCGUAGCCGGUUUGGUCAGUCUUCCGGGAAAUCUGUCAGCUCAACUGAUAGGCUAUCGGGGGAUACUGCUAGACUUGGAGCCGGGAGAGGUAAGAGGUACUACAGGGGUAGGAGUGAAAUCUUGUAAUCCCUGUGGGACCACCUGUGGCGAAGGCGUCUUACCAGAACGGGUUCGACGGUGAGGGACGAAAGCUGGGGGCACGAACCGGAUUAGAUACCCGGGUAGUCCCAGCCGUAAACGAUGCUCGCUAGGUGUCAUGCAUGGUGCGACCGUGUAUGGUGCCGUAGGGAAGCCGUGAAGCGAGCCACCUGGGAAGUACGGCCGCAAGGCUGAAACUUAAAGGAAUUGGCGGGGGAGCAC